UAAACAGCAGAGCCGGUGAGAAAUACUCGAAGUCUCAGUAACAGUGUCUUUGUGUUCUAGCGGCCACCUGUGGAGAGAGAGAGAACGAGAGUGAAUCAUUGAAGAGCAAACUGUGAACGUGAUACCUACCCAGAAAGCUGUAAACAGCAGAGCCGGUGAGAAAUACUUGAAGUCGCAGUAACAGUGUCUUUGUGUCCUAGCGACCACCUGUGGAGAGAGAGAGAACGAGAGUGAAUCAUUGAAGAGCAAACUGUGAACGUGAUACUUACCCAGAAAGCUGUAAACAGCAGAGCCGCGGCCACCUGUGGAGAGAGAGAGAACGAGAGUGAAUCAUUGAAGCGCAAACUGUGAACGUGAUACCUACCCAGAAAGCUGUAAACAGCAGAGCCGGUGAGAAAUACUCGAAGUUUCAGUAACAGUGUCUUUGGGUCCUAGCGGCCACCUGUGGAGAGAGAACAGGACGAGAGUGAAUCAUCGAAGAGCAAACUGUGAACGUGCUACCUACCCAGAGAGCUGUGAGCAGCAGAACCGUGACUAUCUGUGGGGCACAAGGCGAACGUGGGCGGACGUACGACAGGGAACGUAAGGGCACGUGGGGCGAGGACCCCCUGCCGACCCGAGGAAAGAUACACCGACAGUGGAGAUCCUCCUUACCAGUCACACCAAAAUUAUUCUGCCUCCAGGACGGAAGAAGGAGGGCGCCACGGUUAGCAGGGUCCAGGCCGGAGCCUGACGUUUCCCUUUCCCCCCCCAGCUUAUGGUGGUUGGCACCCUCGUUGCCCUUGGCCUGUCUGCCGUGGCUGCAGCCUCCCUGGAGGGAGAAGAAGAGGCCUAUUAGUUUUAAUUUCCCCUUUCCCCAAAUUCCCAGUUCUUUUAAAUAUUUAAACUAAAUAAAGCUUGUUUUAAAUUUUACUUACCUGUUCCCGUGUUUGUCUGGUCAUUGGGUUGGCUUUGGGGACCUCCUCGAGGUGGGAGUUGCA